CGAAAGUCUGAGGCAGCAACUCCGCGUGAGGGACGAAGGCUCUAGGGUCGUAAACCUCUUUUCUCAGGGAAGAUCCAAGACGGUACCUGAGGAAUAAGCCACGGCUAACUACGUGCCAGCAGCCGCGGUAAUACGUAGGUGGCAAGCGUUGUCCGGAUUUACUGGGCGUAAAGAGCGCGCAGGCGGCUGGUCAAGUCCGAUGUGAAAUCUCCCGGCUCAACUGGGAAACUGCAUCGGAAACUGAUCGGCUUGAAGGUGGGAGAGGGUAGUGGAAUUCCCGGUGUAGUGGUGAAAUGCGUAGAUAUCGGGAGGAACACCAGUGGCGAAGGCGACUACCUGGCCCAUUCUUGACGCUGAGGCGCGAAAGCUAGGGGAGCGAACGGGAUUAGAUACCCCGGUAGUCCUAGCCGUAAACGAUGAACACUAGGCGUAGUCGGUAUCGACCCCGGCUGUGCCGUAGCUAACGCAUUAAGUGUUCCGCCUGGGGAGUACGGCCGCAAGGCUA
rnacentral:rRNA from 1 species